UACGUAGGCGCAAGCGUUGUCCGGAAUUAUUGGGCGUAAAGAGCUCGUAGGCGGUUUGUCGCGUCUGCUGUGAAAACCUAAGGCUCAACCUUGGGCUUGCAGUGGGUACGGGCAGACUAGAGUGCGGUAGGGGUGACUGGAAUUCCUGGUGUAGCGGUGGAAUGCGCAGAUAUCAGGAGGAACACCGAUGGCGAAGGCAGGUCACUGGGCCGCAACUGACGCU
rnacentral:rRNA from 1 species